GUCAGAUCUAAAAAUAGACGUGACCUACUUUAUAAGUGACUGCACGCAUUUGACAGCUCGACUAUAGCCAAGGAAUACAGAUGGUUGCAAUAAUGGAUAUCUCCCCAACCACUUCAAUGCUGUUGGUUUUCGUCAUCACAUUCCUCGUGGUUUGGCUGUGGAGAAGGAAAGAAAAGCCGAGAGCAAACCUUCCACCCAACAAGUGGUUCCCCUUCAGUGAGUUCUUAGGUCUGUUUGCGGAGCUGGAUGAAUUUUUGAAGAACGUGCCCAAGAGCAAACCUCUCACAUAUUUCUGCAACAGAUUUACAGGAGAUAGCGUCUUCAUUUUUCACAACCACGAGCUCAUCCACGAAGCUUUCGUCAAGAAAGGGAAUUCAUUUUUGGGAAGACCAGGACCUUAUUUAGGGAAGGAAUGGGCUACACUGAACGGUUAGUUAAA
rnacentral:lncRNA from 1 species